rnacentral:lncRNA from 1 species
CUCGUCACUGUACUCGAGACUUGCAUCGGUGUCGUAGUCAUCCCUUCGACACUGCUCCAUGCCAAAAGUAAUGAACAUCCCUCGGACAAGCAGUGUCUUACUGGACGUUGGAUAGUUAUGCUUGCGGGAACACCUGUCUCCAAAUCGGCAGGAACCUGUUUUGAUAUAGAAUGGGCAAUUUGCUCUAUCCUUCUCUGUUCCUAUGUUCUCUGGAGGCUCUGGGUUAUGCCAGGUCACACCAUUCUCCAGCUGGCUUUCAGCUUGAUCCAGCAUCUUCUGCACAGCCGCCUCUCUUUCUCUCUUCUCCUGUUGUUUCUGCUGUGCCACUUCUCUCUCUUUUCUUUGCUGCUCUUCCCAUUCUUCUUUGAUCUUUCUCUCUUCUUCCUCUUGACGUUUUCUUGCAGCCUCUUCUUUUUCUUUCUUAAGCUUGAACUCUUCUUGAGCCUUUUCUUCUCUCAGCAACCACUGCUCGUGUAGUUUUUGUCUUUCUGCCUCAAGUUUCUUUUCCUCUUCCUCAUCUUCCUCUUCGUCAAGCUCCUCCUCUUCCUCCUCAGACACCGAUUCAUCUUUUUCUGUAGCUUCUGAGUCUCUCAGUUUGGCAAGCGCCUGCCGCUUUUUUUUCCGCUUUUCUUUCUUCAGAAUGGCUCUGUAUUUCUGGUGGCUCAGCUUCCCCAGAGGGGACUCGGGCAGCAACAUGGGCGCCGCCAUCUUGCG